rnacentral:rRNA from 1 species
UACGUAGGGUGCAAGCGUUGUCCGGAAUUAUUGGGCGUAAAGAGCUCGUAGGCGGUUUGUCGCGUCUGGUGUGAAAAAUCCAGGGCUUAACCCUGGACCUGCAUCGGGUACGGGCAGACUAGAGUGCGGUAGGGGAGAUCGGAAUUCCUGGUGUAGCGGUGAAAUGCGCAGAUAUCAGGAGGAACACCGGUGGCGAAGGCGGACCUCUGGACA